rfam:Alistipes sp. CHKCI003 isolate CHKC3 genome assembly, contig: {contig42}
AUUUGCCGUCUAUGGUGCGGGUAGCGGAAACGCCCCGGCGCUUGCAUUAGAGCGUAGGACACCUUACGACGGCUUUUUU